GGCAUUAGCUCAGCUGGGAGAGCACCUGCUUUGCAAGCAGGGGGUCAGCGGUUCGAUCCCGCUAUGC
rnacentral:tRNA from 1 species